rnacentral:rRNA from 1 species
CCUACGGGUGGCAGCAGUGAGGAAUAUUGGUCAAUGGACGAGAGUCUGAACCAGCCAAGUAGCGUGAAGGAUGACUGCCCUAUGGGUUGUAAACUUCUUUUAUAUGGGAAUAAAACGUUCCACGUGUGGGAUUUUGUAUGUACCAUAUGAAUAAGGAUCGGCUAAACCCGUGCCAGCAGCCCCGGUAAUACGGAGGAUCCGAGCGUUAUCCGGAUUUAUUGGGUUUAAAGGGUGCGUAGGGGGUUUGUUAAGUCAGUUGUGAAAGUUUGCGGCUCAACCGUAAGAUUGCAGUUGAAACUGGCAGUCUGGAGUACAGUAGAGGUGGGCGGAAUGCGUGGUGUAGCGGUGAAAUGCUUAGAUAUCACGAAGAACUCCGAUUGCGAAGGCAGUUCACUGGACUGCAACUGACACUGAGGCUCGAAAGUGUGGGUAUCAAACAGGAUUAGAUACCCCAGUAGUC